ACUGGAGGAAGGUGGGGAUGACGUCAAGUCAUCAUGGCCCUUACGAGUAGGGCUACACACGUGCUACAAUGGCAUAUACAAAGAGAAGCGACCUCGCGAGAGCAAGCGGACCUCAUAAAGUAUGUCGUAGUCCGGAUUGGAGUCUGCAACUCGACUCCAUGAAGUCGGAAUCGCUAGUAAUCGUAGAUCAGAAUGCUACGGUGAAUACGUUCCCGGGCCUUGUACACACCGCCCGUCACACCAUGGGAGUGGGUUGCAAAAGAAGUAGGUAGCUUAACCUUCGGGAGGGCGCUUACCACUUUGUGAUUCAUGACUGGGGUGAAGUCGUAACAAGGUAACCGUAGGGGAACCUGCGGUUGGAUCACCUCCUUA
rnacentral:rRNA from 1 species